UACGAAGGGUGCAAGCGUUACUCGGAAUUACUGGGCGUAAAGCGUGCGUAGACGGUUAUGUAAGUCGGGUGUGAAAGCCCCGGGCUCAACCUGGGAAUUGCAUUCGAGACUGCAUAGCUAGGGUGCGGAAGAGGGAAGCGGAAUUUCCGGUGUAGCGGUGAAAUGCGUAGAUAUCGGAAGGAACACCAGUGGCGAAAGCGGCUUCCUGGUCCAGCACCGACGUUCAGGCACGAAAGCGUGGGGAGCAAACAGG
rnacentral:rRNA from 1 species